rnacentral:rRNA from 1 species
GUGUCAGCCGCCGCGGUAAUACGGGAGUGGCAAGCGUUAUCCGGAAUUAUUGGGCGUAAAGCGUCCGCAGGCGGCCUUGAAAGUCUGUCGUUAAAGCGUGGAGCUUAACUCCAUUUCGGCGGUGGAAACUACAAGGCUUGAGUGUGGUAGGGGCAGAGGGAAUUCCCGGUGUAGCGGUGAAAUGCGUAGAUAUCGGGAAGAACACCAGUGGCGAAGGCGCUCUGCUGGGCCAUAACUGACGCUCAUGGACGAAAGCUAGGGGAGCGAAAGGGAUUAGAUACCCCUGUAGUCCUAGCCGUAAACGAUGAACACUAGGUGUCGGGGGAAUCGACCCCCUCGGUGUCGUAGCUAACGCGUUAAGUGUUCCGCCUGGGGAGUACGCACGCAAGUGUGAAACUUAAAUGAAUUGACGGGG